rnacentral:rRNA from 1 species
AGAUUGAACGCUGGCGGCAGGCCUAACACAUGCAAGUCGAGCGGUAGAGAGGUGCUUGCACCUCUUGAGAGCGGCGGACGGGUGAGUAAUGCCUAGGAAUCUGCCUAGUGGUGGGGGAUAACGUUCGGAAACGGACGCUAAUACCGCAUACGUCCUACGGGAGAAAGCGGGGGACCUUCGGGCCUCGCGCCAUUAGAUGAGCCUAGGUCGGAUUAGCUAGUUGGUGAGGUAAUGACUCACCAAGGCGACGAUCCGUAACUGGUCUGAGAGGAUGAUCAGUCACACUGGAACUGAGACACGGUCCAGACUCCUACGGGAGCAGCAGUGGGGAAUAUUGGACAAUGGGGACGAAAGCCUGAUCCAGCCAU